rnacentral:rRNA from 1 species
GCCGGGGGUUACGAGUCCUGCUCCGGCGCCAUGGCGGCGCGGGCUUCGAUUAGAGUUUGAUCAUGGUGAAUCUCUGGCGGCGUGUCUUAGCAUGCAGUCGAGGACAGGGGCAGCAAUGCGCUGAGAGCGGCGGACUGGUGAGUAACGCGUGGGUAAUCUACCUUUGGCAUGGGGAUAGCCACUAGAAAUAGUGGGUAAUACCGAAUACGUUCCCUGGGGGGAGGUUUCAGGGAAGAAAGGGUGCUACGGCACCGGCCGGAGAUGAGCUCGCGUCCCAUUAGCUCGUUGGUGAGGUAACGGCCCACCAAGGCGAUGAUGGGUAGCCGGCCUGAGAGGGUGUACGGCCACACUGGGACUGAGAUACGGCCCAGACUCCUACGGGAGGCAUUUUUUUUUGAAUAUUCCGCAAUGGACGAAAGUCUGACGGAGCGACGCCGCGUGGAUGAUGAAGGCCGAAAGGUUGUAAAGUCCUUUUGCUGGGGAAGAAUAAGUGUGGGAGGGAAUGCCCGCAUGAUGACAUGAACCGGCGAAUAAGCCCCGGCCAACUACGUGCCAGCAGCCGCGGUAACACAUAGGGGGCGAGCGUUGUUCGGAAUUACUGGGCGUAAAGGGCAUGUAGGCGGUCUGGUAAGCCUGGCGUGAAGGCCACAGCUCAACUGUGGGAUUGCGUUGGGAACUGCUGGGCUUGAGUUAUGGAGAGGGAGCUAGAAUUCCUGGUGUAGGGUGAAAUCUGUAGAUAUCAGGAAGAAUACCGAUGGCGAAGGCAGCUCCUGGCCGAUGACUGACGCUGAGUGCGAAAG